rnacentral:rRNA from 2 species
GGGGAAUUUUGGACAAUGGGGGCAACCCUGAUCCAGCCAUGCCGCGUGAGUGAAGAAGGCCUUCGGGUUGUAAAGCUCUUUCGGACGGAAAGAAAACGGAUGGGUUAAUACCCUGUUCGGAUGACGGUACCGUCAUAAGAAGCCCCGGCUAACUUCGUGCCAGCAGCCGCGGUAAUACGAAGGGGGCUAGCGUUGCUCGGAAUCACUGGGCGUAAAGCGCACGUAGGCGGAUCGUUAAGUCAGGGGUGAAAUCCUGGGGCUCAACCUCAGAACUGCCCUUGAUACUGGCGAUCUCGAGUUCGAGAGAGGUUGGUGGAACUCCGAGUGUAGAGGUGAAAUUCGUAGAUAUUCGGAAGAACACCAGUGGCGAAGGCGACCAACUGGCUCGAUACUGACGCUGAGGUGCGAAAGCGUGGGGAGCAAACA